GUAUAACUUUAUUAUUAUUGCCAACACAUUCUAAACAAGUUUUGUGAAAACAUAGACCUGGAGAUGCAAGGGCAAAGCCGAAUGGCAGUCCCGACUCGAAAACAGAAAUUUGUGUUCAAACAAGCCCCAGGGUCUACAAGAGGUGCACAGUUGGAGAAAUGAUAAAGAUGACAAGCGUGCACAUGCCCACGAGUGGACCAGCAAACAGCCUGUUCAAGUUUAUUCGAUAAUGAUCCUUCCGCAGGUUCACCUACGGAAA
rnacentral:misc_RNA from 1 species